GCAGGGGUCGCCUAGCUCGGUAGGGCGCAGUUUAACAGCGUAAGCCUGGAGUCCGAUUUGGCGCGUCAGCCUGUCUCCAGAAAUGGGGUCGUGGGUUCAAAUCCCACCCCCUGCG
rnacentral:tRNA from 1 species